rnacentral:sRNA from 1 species
AUAAAAACUAUGAUAAAGAGGAGUAUGUAAAUACUACUAAAAGAGAUGAAGACUCAUAGGCUGAAAGGUCUUCUUAGUAUAGGUUUGCAGAAGGUAGCUUUGGAGUUUCUAGGCUGAACUAGCAGUAGGUUUAGACGGUGGGAAUCGUUAAAAUCCAUAAAGAGCCCAAAUU